rnacentral:tRNA from 1 species
GCCUGGUUGGCCCAGUAGGUUGAGUGUCCGACUUCCGCUCAGGCGUUGAUCUCACAGUUUGUGAGUUCGAGCCCCACAUCGGGCU